rnacentral:snRNA from 1 species
AUGUUCACUUUGGCAGCACAUGUACUACAACUGGAAAAAUCCAGGGAACAUUAGCAUGAUCUCUGUGCAAGGAUGACCUGUAUAUUUAUGAAUCUUUUCAUAUUACA